rnacentral:rRNA from 1 species
GAUGAACGCUGGCGGCGUGCCUAAUACAUGCAAGUCGAGCGAACAGACGAGGAGCUUGCUCCUCUGACGUUAGCGGCGGACGGGUGAGUAACACGUGGAUAACCUACCUAUAAGACUGGGAUAACUUCGGGAAACCGGAGCUAAUACCGGAUAAUAUAUUGAACCGCAUGGUUCAAUAGUGAAAGACGGUUUUGCUGUCACUUAUAGAUGGAUCCGCGCCGCAUUAGCUAGUUGGUAAGGUAACGGCUUACCAAGGCAACGAUGCGUAGCCGACCUGAGAGGGUGAUCGGCCACACUGGAACUGGGACCCGGUCCAGACUCCUACGGGAGGCAGCAGUAGGGAAUCUUCCGCAAUGGGCGAAAGCCUGACGGAGCAACGCCGCGUGAGUGAUGAAGGUCUUCGGAUCGUAAAACUCUGUUAUUAGGGAAGAACAAAUGUGUAAGUAACUAUGCACGUCUUGACGGUACCUAAUCAGAAGGCCACGGCUAACUACGUG